UUGCGGUUGGAUCCCCUCCUUUCUAAGGAUUUUUACAUGACGUACGUUUUGACACUUUGUUCAGUUUUGAGAGUUCAAUCUCUCAAUUAUAGAAAGCACACUACUUUCUUCUUAUUUGAUAAGAAGAAUUUUGGUUGCGAUUGUUCUUUGAAAACUAGAUAACAGUAAUUGCUGAGGAAAAGUGAAACUUUUCUUUAAUCAAAUCAAUAAAUAACACAACAUUAUGUUGUACCAUUUAUUCGCUAAUGGUUAAGUUAGAAAGGGCGCACGGUGAAUGCCUUGGCACUAGGAGCCGAUGAAGGACGGGACUAACACCGAUAUGCUUCGGGGAGCUGUAAGUGAGCUUUGAUCCGGAGAUUU
rnacentral:misc_RNA from 1 species